rnacentral:rRNA from 1 species
UUUGCCUACGGGACGCAGCAGUGAGGAAUAUUGGUCAAUGGGCGGGAGCCUGAACCAGCCAAGUCGCGUGAAGGAAGAAGGUACUUAGUAUUGUAAACUUCUUUUGUCGGGGAACAAAGGCGGAGACGCGUCUCCGGAUGAGUGUACCCGAAGAAAAAGCAUCGGCCAACUCCGUGCCAGCAGCCGCGGUAAUACGGAGGAUGCGAGCGUUAUCCGGAUUUAUUGGGUUUAAAGGGUGCGCAGGCGGGAGAUCAAGUCAGCGGUAAAAUGUCGGGGCUCAACCCCGGCCGGCCGGUUGAACUGGG